UGGCGAGCGGGUGAGUAACACGUGGGUGAUCUGCCUUGCACUUCGGGAUAAGCCUGGGAAACUGGGUCUAAUACCGGAUAGGACCAUGCUUUAGUGUGUGUGGUGGAAAGUUUUUCGGUGCAAGAUGAGCCCGCGGCCUAUCAGCUUGUUGGUGGGGUAAUGGCCUACCAAGGCGACGACGGGUAGCCGGCCUGAGAGGGUGUACGGCCACAUUGGGACUGAGACACGGCCCAG
rnacentral:rRNA from 1 species